UGACAAUGAGUUCCACAGGUUGACUAUGCAUUGUGUGAAGUACUUCCUUACGUUAGUUUUAAACAUACUGCCUUUUAAUUUUCUGAUUCAAUGUUC